CUGCCGGGCGGGUGCUUACACAUGCAGUCGAACGAUGAUGCCCAGCUUGCUGGGUGGAUUAGUGGCGAACGGGUGAGUAACACGUGAGUAACCUGCCCCUGACUCUGGGAUAAGCGUUGGAAACGACGUCUAAUACUGGAUAUGACUGCCGGCCGCAUGGUCUGGUGGUGGAAAGAUUUUUUGGUUGGGGAUGGACUCGCGGCCUAUCAGCUUGUUGGUGAGGUAAUGGCUCACCAAGGCGACGACGGGUAGCCGGCCUGAGAGGGUGACCGGCCACACUGGGACUGAGACACGGCCCAGACUCCUACGGGAGGCAGCAGUGGGGAAUAUUGCACAAUGGGCGAAAGCCUGAUGCAGCAACGCCGCGUGAGGGAUGACGGCCUUCGGGUUGUAAACCUCUUUUAGUAGGGAAGAAGCGUAAGUGACGGUACCUGCAGAAAAAGCACCGGCUAACUACGUGCCAGCAGCCGCGGUAAUACGUAGGGUGCAAGCGUUGUCCGGAAUUAUUGGGCGUAAAGAGCUCGUAGGCGGUUUGUCGCGUCUGCUGUGAAAUCCCGAGGCUCAACCUCGGGCUUGCAGUGGGUACGGGCAGACUAGAGUGCGGUAGGGGAGAUUGGAAUUCCUGGUGUAGCGGUGGAAUGCGCAGAUAUCAGGAGGAACACCGAUGGCGAAGGCAGAUCUCUGGGCCGUAACUGACGCUGAGGAGCGAAAGCGUGGGGAGCGAACAGGAUUAGAUACCCUGGUAGUCCACGCCGUAAACGUUGGGCGCUAGAUGUAGGGACCUUUCCACGGUUUCUGUGUCGUAGCUAACGCAUUAAGCGCCCCGCCUGGGGAGUACGGCCGCAAGGCUAAAACUCAAAGGAAUUGACGGGGGCCCGCACAAGCGGCGGAGCAUGCGGAUUAAUUCGAUGCAACGCGAAGAACCUUACCAAGGCUUGACAUACACCGGAAACGGCCAGAGAUGGGUUGCCCCCUUGUGGUCGGUGUACAGGUGGUGCAUGGUUGUCGUCAGCUCGUGUCGUGAGAUGUUGGGUUAAGUCCCGCAACGAGCGCAACCCUCGUUCUAUGUUGCCAGCGCGUUAUGGCGGGGACUCAUAGGAGACUGCCGGGGUCAACUCGGAGGAAGGUGGGGAUGACGUCAAAUCAUCAUGCCCCUUAUGUCUUGGGCUUCACGCAUGCUACAAUGGCCGGUACAAAGGGCUGCGAUACCGUAAGGUGGAGCGAAUCCCAAAAAGCCGGUCUCAGUUCGGAUUGAGGUCUGCAACUCGACCUCAUGAAGUCGGAGUCGCUAGUAAUCGCAGAUCAGCAACGCUGCGGUGAAUACGUUCCCGGGCCUUGUACACACCGCCCGUCAAGUCAUGAAAGUCGGUAACACCCGAAGCCGGUGGCCUAACCCUUGUGGAAGGAGCCGUCGAAGUGAUCCAU
rnacentral:rRNA from 1 species